CCUACGGGAGGCAGCAGUGAGGAAUAUUGGUCAAUGGGCGCGAGCCUGAACCAGCCAAGUCGCGUGAGGGAAGACGGUCCUAUGGAUUGUAAACCUCUUUUGUCGGGGAGCAAAAGACGCCACGCGUGGCGUUCCGAGAGUACCCGAAGAAAAAGCAUCGGCUAACUCCGUGCCAGCAGCCGCGGUAAUACGGAGGAUGCGAGCGUUAUCCGGAUUUAUUGGGUUUAAGGGGUGCGAAGGCGGAAGAUCAAGUCGGCGGUAAAAUUGGGAGGCUCAACCUCUUCGAGCCGUUGAAACUGGUUGGCUUGAGUGAGGGAGAAGUAUGCGGAAUGCGUGGUGUAGCGGUGAAAUGCAUAGAGAUCACGCAGAACUCCGAUUGCGAAGGCAGCAUACCGGCGCUCAACUGACGCUCAUGCACGAAAGUGUGGGUAGCGAACAGGAUUAGAUACCCGGGUAGUC
rnacentral:rRNA from 1 species